GAUGAACGCUGGCGGCGUGCCUAAUACAUGCAAGUCGAGCGAACGGACGGGGAUCUUUCUUCUCUGAUGUUGGCGGCGGGCGGGUGAUUAACACGUGGAUACCCUACCUAUAAGACUGAGAUAACUUCGGGAGAGCUGAUCUAAUACCGGAUCAUAUUUUGAACCUCGUGGUUCAAAGGUGAAAGAGCGUCUUGCUGUCACUUAUACAUGGAUCCGCGCUGCAUUAGCUAGUUGGUAAGGUAACGGCCUACCAAGGCGACGAUGCGUAGCUGAUCUGAGAGGAUGAUCAGUCACACUGGAACUGAGACACGGUCCAGACUCCUACGGGAGGCAGCAGUGGGGAAUAUUGGACAAUGGGCGAAAGCCUGAUCCAGCCAUGCCGCGUGUGUGAAGAAGGUCUUCGGAUUGUAAAGCACUUUAAGUUGGGAGGAAGGGCAGUAAGUUAAUACCUUGCUGUUUUGACGUUACCAACAGAAUAAGCACCGGCUAACUUCGUG
rnacentral:rRNA from 1 species